CGCCGCCAACGGCCGCGCCUCGCGCUCCGCCCCACCGCAGGCGCUGCCGGCGAGGCGGAGGCACAAGGGGUGCGGAGCAAGCAGCGCGCCGGUGUCCCGGGCAGCUGCGCACACCCUGCCCGCCUCACGGCAUUUUCCAGCCGUCUGCGGGCCUUUCCCCUUAAAGCCCUUGAGCUGCAGGCAAAAUCAUGGAACAAAAUCUGCCAGUCAUGGCAAAUUACAUGAAUGAUUCUGUGGAGGCUAAACCAAGAUUGCUGAACUCAUUUUCAUGCAUGGCUAAACACAGAAUUGAACCCCAUGCUACAGAAGUGAAAGGUAGCUGACUUGAGAAGAGGGUUCUGCCUGGCAGAAAUGACUCACUAGCUUAGCAGAAGAGUUGUCACAGAAAUUGAAUUUAAAUACUUCCCUAAACAGCUCACUUUGGCCACUGUUUUUGAGAAGCUGGUAAUCGUUUGUGUAAGUAUCCUUAAAAUAAAAGCGGUGCAAAA